rnacentral:rRNA from 1 species
GCUCAGAACGAACGCUGGCGGCAAGCUUAACACAUGCAAGUCGAACGGAUUCUUAUCAUAGCUUGCUAUGAUAAGAAUUAGUGGCAGACGGGUGAGUAAUGCAUAGGAAUCUACCUAGUAGUAUGGGAUAGCCACUAGAAAUGGUGGGUAAUACUGUAUAAUCCCUGCGGGGGAAAGAUUUAUCGCUAUUAGAUGAGCCUAUGUUAGAUUAGCUAGUUGGUAGGGUAAAGGCCUACCAAGGCAGUGAUCUAUAGCUGGUCUGAGAGGAUGAUCAGCCACACUGGAACUGAGAUACGGUCCAGACUCCUACGGGAGGCAGCAGUGGGGAAUAUUGGACAAUGGGCGCAAGCCUGAUCCAGCUAUGCCGCGUGAGUGAGGAAGGCCUUAGGGUUGUAAAACUCUUUCAGUGGGGAAGAUAAUGACGGUACCUACAGAAGAAGUCC